rnacentral:rRNA from 1 species
UACGUAGGGGGCUAGCGUUGUCCGGAAUCAUUGGGCGUAAAGCGCGUGUAGGCGGCUCGGUAAGUCUGCUGUGAAAGUCCAAGGCUCAACCUUGGAAAGCCGGUGGAAACUGUCGAGCUAGAGUCCGGAAGAGGCGAGUGGAAUUCCUGGUGUAGCGGUGAAAUGCGCAGAUAUCAGGAGGAACACCAAUGGCGAAGGCAGCUCGCUGGGACGGUACUGACGCUGAGACGCGAAAGCGUGGGGAGCAAACAGG